GAAAUGCGAUAAGUAAUGUGAAUUGCAGAAUUCAGUGAAUCAUCGAAUCUUUGAACGCACCUUGCGCUCCUUGGUAUUCCUUGGAGCAUGCCUGUUUGAGUAUCAUGAAAUCUUCAAAGUAAAUCUUCUGUUAACUCAAUUGGUUUCUACUUUGGUAUUGGAGGUCUUUGCAGCUUCACACCUGCUCCUCUUUGUUCAUUAGCUGGAUCUCAGUGUUAUGCUUGGUUCCACUCGGCGUGAUAAGUUAUCUAUCGCUGAGGACACUGUAAAAGGUGGCCAAGGUAAAUGCAGAUGAACCGCUUCUAAUAGUCCAUUGACUUGGACAAUACUUUUAUGAUCUGAUCUCAAAUCAGGUAGGACUACCCGCUGAACUUAAGC
rnacentral:misc_RNA from 1 species